GCGUUCCUACUACUGGUUGUCAUAGUAACAUGGGUGGCGCAACUAACAUUCCACUUUUGACAACAAACCAGUUUUUUUGCUGCUAAAAUUAAACAUUCUGAUCGGAGAGCGAUCUUAUAUAAAAUUCACCAGCGUAUAUAUGCCUCAUUUCCUACGAGACGAAGGAGAAGCGGAGUGUGCUUAGCCAUCUACCUGUGGCAAAAGCACAGUGGUGGUGCCCAGGAGCCGGACCGUAGUUCUCUGUGUUUCCCUUACCAAGAUACACUGGGAUUUUGCUCGAUUGUAACAAAAAAUGAGUAUUUCAUUAUUUUAUUUAUUUAUUUAUUGCUUUAAACCCACUGAUAUCCUAAAAUAAGCUAAGCUAAGUUAAUUGGCUACUGCCACAAUGGCACUGCUUCUGCUAGUGAGCAAGGGGUGGCCACAGAUGACAUGCACUCUACUGUCUUCAUUCCCAUUGGUAGUUGCUGCACUAAGUCGCUCCAAAUUUGCAUGAAGUUAAACUUUUCUCAACUUUCCAAGUCGCUGGACACGCCCACAUCCGGUCGCCAAUGGUCACCGUCGCUCAUGUCAACGGAAUUCGCCAACUCUCAUUGAAAAUGAACGAUCUCCGGUCGCAUUGUCGCUCGCAGGCCACGCCUCCUUCAUUGGAACUGACUGGCACACAACACCAUCAUUGAGAUUAAUGGGCACAGAGGCCACAUCUCCUUGUGCAGGAUUGACAGGCAUAGAAGCAGCAUUUCCUUCAUUGGGACUGAUGAGCACACAGGUCAAGCCUCCAUCAAUGAGACUGACAUGCACAGAGGCUACACCGUCUUUACAAGGACCGACGGGCACUGAGGCCACACCCCAUUCACUGGGACUGACAGACACAGAAGCCUCACCUCCUCCUUUAUUGGGACUGAUAAACACUGAGGCCACACCUCCUCCUUCAAUGGGACUGACAAACUCUGAGGGUGCAUCCAAAAUCAUCAGGGUCAUCCAGGUAUUUCUCGCCUACUGCUUAAUGAAUACUGAGAAUUCGGACAUACUGCUCCUUUGGCGUACUGCCUUUCUCCUACUGUAUAGUAGGGUAGUUGACACAGCCUCCUCCUUCACUGAGACUGACAGACAAACUAGUCACACCUUCUUCACCUUGACUGAGAGACAUCAAGCCCACGCCUCCUCCUGACUGACUGAUGGACGGCGAGGCCGUGCCUCCUUAUUCCAGCCUUAUUCCAUGUCUGACCAGUACUGACAUACUCCUAUCUUUCUCCGACUCUCUGCAUUGGUGAAAUACAUGUUUAGAUGGUCACUAAAGUUCUGCUUGUACUGAUUUUCCCUCUAUCCAAGAUGCACCAAACAGAUGUAACGUUUUCUCCCUCCAAGAAAAUAUUUUAUUCAUGAUUUAUAUGAAAGAUAAAUCUUCAGAAAGUCUUAGAGCUGAUGGGCAUACACAAUUUAACAUCUGUCUUCCUCAGAAUAAUUAAUAGCACAGAAGAGCACUGGGGACCCAGACGUCAGGACUUUUCCUCCCCUUCCCUUUCUGUAAUUAUUGUCAAAAACAAAGCAAGCAUGGAUUUGCAUCUAGCAGUUGUGUCACUGUGUUCUAGGCUUGGGAAAUAAAGGAAGUAAAGGAGCUGAUUAAUCCUGGAGCUAUACAGAAGUCCUGUUGUAAAUAAUAUAAAGGCUGUAGAUGUGUUCAGUUUUCACAGCGUCAUGCGGUUUCUUAUGCUGCCACGCCCUUUAUAUCAUGAGGUGGCACCACAUGUUUUAAUAUUUUCUCAGCCUAUGUUUGGCAGGCCCCAGAGGUCAUCUAAUAUAACCUGACCUCACACGUAACAUUUUGAAAUAGUAAGCUAAUCCUUUACUUUAGGAUUACUGUAAUGUCUGCCUGAGGCGUAGCGCGCAGAGACAGAGGGACACCGCAGAUUGACUGCAGGACUGGACACUAUUGGAUAAAUGACUGUGUUGCUAUCGCCCUGAGUGACAUCCUGUUGCCCAAAAUCCAAAGUGCUAUAUUUGUUGCAGCUAUUAUGAAAUAAAAACCCUCUGAAAAAGGCCACUAUUCGGUUUGAAUUGAUUCCCUGAAAACUCCUGCGGUGAAUGGGCUUUCAUUUUGAUGGCAUUACUAUGGAGAGAAUGUGUUGUGUCAGUUUCACCUCUCCAUUACUUUGUCCAUUAGGGUGAAACCGCCUGAUUUUAUUUCUCGCACUCUAUUUUCUGUGAUAAAAUGGAAAUUCAAACGCUUAUUAAGUCUGAGUGACAUCUAUGUCUGGGAGCUGGAAGGAAAGUAAGUCAACUAUAUCUCGUUUCAGUUCAUUUUUGCUCAAUUUCCCUCUCGUGAUCAAAUAUUUCACUUUCCAGUAGGGUCCUAAUGGGAGUGUCAGUUUCGGGAGGCCCUAUCUCGCUGCUCUGCUGCCAUUAGCGGCUCUCUUCGACUGUUUCAAAUUUCUACCUGUCAACAGUAAAAGCAACGGGUCUCCGUUUUAACUCGUUUCUCUCCCGAUCUGCGUUCAACUAAUGUCGUCGGUUCAACUGCCACUUUUAAACCACAGGAGAAUAUUGUACAGAAGCUGAAAGAUUAAACCUGCUUGUGUUGGGUGUUAACUUUU